rnacentral:rRNA from 1 species
ACUCCUACGGGAGGCAGCAGUAGGGAAUAUUGCACAAUGGGGGAAACCCUGAUGCAGCAAUGCCACGUGAGCGAGGAAGGUCUUCGGAUUGUAAAGCUCUGUCCUAUAGGAAGAAUGGUAUUAUGGUUAAUACCAUAGUAUUUGACGGUACUAUAGAAGAAAGCACCGGCUAACUCCGUGCCAGCAGCCGCGGUAAUACGGAGGGUGCAAGCGUUGUUCGGAUUUACUGGGCGUAAAGCGCGCGCAGGCGGAUAAGCAAGUCAGAUGUGAAAUCUCGGGGCUCAACCCCGAAACUGCGUCUGAAACUGUUUAUCUAGAGUCUCAUAGGGGGUAGGGGAAUUUCACGUGUAGGGGUAAAAUCCGUAGAGAUGUGAAGGAACACCGGUGGCGAAGGCGCCUACCUGGAUGAGUACUGACGCUGAGGCGCGAAAGCGUGGGGAGCAAACAGGAUUAGAUACCCUGGUAGGAUAGCGU